AAUAAUUCUACAUAACUGACUGGGGCCCAUCUUUGGGUAGAAAUAAGUUUUGUACUGAAAUCCUAGGUUUUAUGUGUGAGAGUCCUAAAGCUAUUCUGACAAGGAAAAGGUCUGCUUUGAACAUCUCUUACUCAAAUUUUGGAACAUGACGGUGUCGAAGCGGGUGGCGGAGAAGAAGGUGGCCAAGUUUGAGAAGAAUAUCAGCAGAAGAGGAGUGGGUCCCAUCUCUUCCAACAAGGCCUUGGAGCCUGCUCACAUUCUUCUUAUUCUCUUCGCCGUCUUGGUCGUCGCCUCCUUUCUCUUCCAGGUGGUGAGGAUGGCCAUGAAUGGUGGUAUUCCGGAAUGAACCCUCUUCUUCUUCUUUCAGCUCCUUAGAAUUACAAAUUAUGCCAAUAAAAUGCUUCAAAUUUUAACAAACCAUUUAUCCUUGUUGAAUUAAUUACCAGUUAGCGCUGCUUAUUUUCUCAAGGAAGAA